rnacentral:rRNA from 1 species
UACGUAGGGUCCGAGCGUUGUCCGGAUUUAUUGGGCGUAAAGAGCGUGUAGGCGGCCUGACAAGUCUGCUGUGAAAACUCGAGGCUCAACCUCGAGAUGUCGGCGGAAACUGUCUGGCUAGAGUCCGGAAGAGGAGAGUGGAAUUCCUGGUGUAGCGGUGAAAUGCGCAGAUAUCAGGAAGAACACCUAUGGCGAAGGCAGCUCUCUGGGACGGUACUGACGCUGAGACGCGAAAGCGUGGGGAGCGAACAGG